rnacentral:lncRNA from 1 species
UGCCCACCCUGCCCCAGCAAAGGGACCAGCAGAUCUGAAGAGGCCCUGCAGCCAGGACCGGGAAGACUCCCCAGGAGCCAGCAGGAAGGCUCCCCAGGAGCCAGGUGGGGCCCGGCCCAGGCGGCGCCCGCCAUGAACGGGCUGUCGUUGAGUGAGCUCUGCUGCCUCUUCUGCUGCCCGCCCUGCCCCGGCCGCAUCGCUGCCAAGCUCGCCUUCCUGCCGCCGGAGGCCACCUACACCCUGGUGCCUGAGCCCAAGCCGGGGCCUGGUGGGGCCGGGACCGCCCCCUUGGGGACCCUGCGGGCCUCCUCGGGCGCACCGCACCCGGGCGCAGGAAGCUGCACCUGACGGAGCAUACCGACUUCCAGUACAGCCAGCGCGAGCUGGACACCAUCGAGGUCUUCCCCACCAAGAGCGCCAGCGGCAACCGCGUCUCCUGCAUGUAUGUUCGCUGCGUGCCUGGUGCCAGCUUCUACAUUGGCCUGGGCUCCCGCCUCCACUGCAACAUCUUCUCCUACGACUACUCCGGCUACGAUGCCAGCUCGGGCAGGCCUUCCGAGAGGAACCUCUAUGCCGACAUCGACGCCGCCUGGCAGGCCCUGCGCACCAGGUGAGGGCGACCCUGGGGGCAGCUCAGCCUGGGUACGGCAUCAGCCCGGACAGCAUCAUCCUGUACCGGCAGAGCAUCGGCACGGUGCCCACCGUGGACCUGGCCUCGCGCUACGAGUGUGCCGCGGUGGUGCUGCACUCGCCGCUCACCUCGGGCAUGCGCGUCGCCUUCCCUGACACCAAGACGACCUACUGCUUCGACGCCUUCCCUAACAUCGAGAAGGUGUCCUAGAUCACGUCGCCCGUGCUCAUCAUCCACGGCACGGAGGACGAGGUGAUCGACUUCUCGCACGGGCUGGCGCUCUACGAGCGCUGCCCCAAGGCGGUGGAGCCGCUGUGGGUGGAGGGCGCCGGGCACAACGACAUCGAGCUCUACAGCCAGUACCUGGAGCGCCUGCGUCGCUUCAUCUCCCAGGAGCUGCCCAGCCAGCGCGC